AAGAACACAUACCUCAUGAAGUUUAUAUACCAUGAAAGAAACAAGUGUAGAUAUCUUAAACACUUAUCAAACCAUGUAGGUUGCUCAUGGGUUAGAGUAUGAGACACAAGCAACUUACCAUAUGAUAAUCACAACUAGGCAUUGCAACACAUAAAGGUGCAUGCAAUUCUAGACAUGGGAAUGGUGCUACAUGAUGCUUGAGUUGAGUUUCUAGCUACCAUUACCUCUCUCACCUUUGUACAGGGGACUUGGGGCAAAUUGUGUCCAAUCUUGUGAACUUGGCUUCUAUGCUUGAGCCUUCUCUUCUUGUUGUGAACCAAAUCUCCAAAUCCCCCAUAGCCGAUCAUUGGGCUUCAAGUAUCCUUUGGAACACAAACCAUUUGAGGCCCUUUCAUAUUGGUGAUGACUUCCUUGGGCACACAAAUGGGUCGAUUCCAACCCCAUUCCUCCCCC
rnacentral:lncRNA from 1 species